rnacentral:rRNA from 1 species
UACGGAGGGUGCAAGCGUUAUCCGGAUUCACUGGGGUUAAAGGGUGCGUAGGAGGGCAGGUAAGUCCAUGGUGAAAUCUCUGAGCUUAACUCAGAAACUGCCGUGGAUACUACCGGUCUUGAAUAUCGUGGAGGUGAGCGGAAUAUGUCAUGUAGCGGUGAAAUGCUUAGAUAUGACAUAGAACACCAAUUGCGAAGGCAGCUCACUACCCGAAUAUUGACUCUGAGGCACGAAAGCGUGGGGAUCAAACAGG